rnacentral:rRNA from 1 species
CGCACGGUGAGUAACACGUAUGCAACCNGCCUGCACAGCGGAUAAUCGGGAGAAAUUCCGUCUAAUACGGCAUAAUGCAUCGACGGGACAUCCUGUUGGUGCCAAAGGUUAAUUCCGGUGGCGGAUGGGCAUGCGUCGCAUUAGUUAGUUGGCGGUGUAACGGACCACCAAGACGACGAUGCGUAGGGGUUCUGAGAGGAAGGUCCCCCACACUGGUACUGAGACACGGACCAGACUCCUACGGGAGGCAGCAG